rnacentral:rRNA from 1 species
CGGGUUCUUACACAUGCAAGUCGAGCGGAAAGGCCUUCGGGGUACUCGAGCGGCGAACGGGAUGAGUAACACGUGAGUAACCUGCCCCUGACUCUGGGAUAAGCCUGGGAAACUGGGUCUAAUACCGGAUAUGACACUCCUCCGCAUGGUGUGGGUGUGGAAAGUUUUUUCGGUUGGGGAUGGGCUCGCGGCCUAUCAGCUUGUUGGUGGGGUGAUGGCCUACCAAGGCGACGACGGGUAGCCGGCCUGAGAGGGCGACCGGCCACACUGGGACUGAGACACGGCCCAGACUCCUACGGGAGGCAGCAGUGGGGAAUAUUGCGCAAUGGGCGGAAGCCUGACGCAGCGACGCCGCGUGGGGGAUGACGGCCUUCGGGUUGUAAACCUCUUUCAGCAGGGACGAAGUUGACGUGUACCUGUAGAAGAAGCGCCGGCUAACUACGUGCCAGCAGCCGCGGUAAUACGUAGGGCGCGAGCGUUGUCCGGAAUUAUUGGGCGUAAAGAGCUCGUAGGUGGCUUGUCGCGUCUGCCGUGAAAGCCCGUGGCUUAACUACGGGUCUGCGGUGGAUACGGGCAGGCUAGAGGCUGGUAGGGGCAAGCGGAAUUCCUGGUGUAGCGGUGAAAUGCGCAGAUAUCAGGAGGAACACCGGUGGCGAAGGCGGCUUGCUGGGCCAGUUCUGACGCUGAGGA